GACCGCUCCGUUGGUCUAGUGGUUAGAGCGUUCGCCUUGGACGCGAGAAGCAGCGAGUUCAAAUCUCAACCGAGUCA